rnacentral:rRNA from 1 species
CAGUCGCCGCGGUAAUACGAAGGGUGCAAGCGUUAAUCGGAAUUACUGGGCGUAAAGCGUGCGUAGGCGGUGAGUUAAGUCUGCUGUGAAAUCCCCGGGCUCAACCUGGGAAUGGCAGUGGAUACUGGCUCGCUAGAGUGUGUCAGAGGAUGGUGGAAUUCCCGGUGUAGCGGUGAAAUGCGUAGAGAUCGGGAGGAACAUCAGUGGCGAAGGCGGCCAUCUGGGACAACACUGACGCUGAGGCACGAAAGCGUGGGGAGCAAACAGGAUUAGAUACCCCGGUAGUCCCUGUCUCUUAUAU